AGCUACCCCCGAGCGAAAGGUUGAGCUGCUGCUGCUGCUGCUUCAGCCAGAGAGAGGUGCGCAGAGGAAGCCGAGGGUUUGUUGUGGGCACUUUACCCCUCAGCCAGGACCACGGGCCGGGCGUGUCUGGUCUGCACACACACAGAAUGGGGAUUUUAGGCGAGAUGGUAGGGAGACCGAGAGUGAGAGAGAGACUCGAGGUAACGUUCCGACACGACAGUGAGAAAGCCUCGCGUUUUUAUUAUGAGCCGGGUGCGAGGACUCUCCGGCGAACGUGAGAAAUGCCUGUGCAAAACAAAAAGCCGAGGCAAGCCAAGGCGGGCGACGCCAGGGAACGCUGCUCUUGCCCCCAUUGUCUGGAGGCGUUUUGCGACGAAGCCACCUGCUGGGAAAAGCGGCUUAGCUGAGGAGGCGGCUGUGUCGCCUUUUGUUUUUGCUCCUCUCCCGCCAUCGCCCAGGAGCCUGGAAUGGGACCAGCGCGCCAGUUAGGAAGUUUUCGGUCCCUGCGCUUCGUGGGUUGACGGACCUUUUUUCAACCCGCGGGCGCCCCUCCUCGAGAUUCUGCUACCUGCUUCGUUACUCGCCAAAUGUGCAAUUAAAUAUUGCACAUACUGUAUAUGUAAUUGCUUUUUUAAAAUAAAAACUUUGCCUGUUUCUGCUGCUGCUGCUGGGCAGCGCUCCAGCCUGCGUACCCAAAAAAUGUCAGGCUGCAUAACGGAAAUUAGGAAGGUUGCUGAGUGCACAGGAAACCUCGAGGAUUAGUGCUGGGUCAUUUGCAGAGCUGGCAAGGAUUUUUCCCUCACCCUACAGGUCACUGAGCAAACUUGCUUUGUGUCCAUGCAUCAAAGCCUCCUGCCGGAGAGAAAGGGGGGGGGGGAAACGGGGCGGGGAGAGGAGAGGUUGCAAGCGCUGGCCCCCAGACAGUGUCCUAGAAGCGACUAGGCUCCGGAUAGCUGUUCAGAAUCGAGCAGGUCGUUUAGGAUUGUGCUUGCACGGAGGGCUGAAAAACAUUGAAUCUGGAAACUCUGCAAACGGCUGUGCAGGUCUUUUCAGGCCAGGGCUGGCUUUGCAAUGACACACUGUAGUAAGUAAUAAGGGAAAACAGAUAGCCUUUUCUCCAUUAUUAGCGCCAUCAUUGCAAGCUUCUCUUACCUCUUGGUUGUGGAAAAAAAAACCCGAAAUGGGCUGGCUGCACAAUCUUAUUUACUUUGCAGCUGAACUGCUCCAGAGCAAAUCUAUGGCCAUUGGUGAUGGCAGGACAGAACUUGGGGGCAGGUGUCCAGGCCUCGUUUGCAGAAUGAGCAGGGGCUCCCUAAAACGCUUGCCACCUUGUGAAGAAAGUGAAGUGACUGAUAUUACCGUCUAAAGGUGGGGAAGCAAGAGUGUGGCAUAAGAUAGAGCAGAGUCUAAAAUUAUAUAACUACAACCAGCAUGGUGGUACUUUGCAACAUUUUAAAAAUUAUAUUGCUACACCCAGGCAUCAAUAUAAUAAUUCACUCCACAGUUUACUCUGAAUAUGAGUUGUGUAGAUGGCUACGAUGCUAACUUAUUGUAUUGUAUUAAAACUAUAAAAGUUUUGGGGGUUUUUACUAAAAUUUGGCAUUUAUCUAUAAUAAUAAUAAUAAAUUUUCUUUGUAUUCCGCCCUCCCCAGCCGAAGCCGGGCUCAGGGCGGCUAACAACAAUAAAACAGUACAAAAGUACAGCACAAACAACACUCUAAAAUCAUUCAUUAUAAAAUUAAUUAAUUCAAGCCACUGGCAACCAUUGGGCCAGAGCUCUGCGAAGAUUGCCGAGGGAGGGAGUCAGGCUGUGCCCUGGCCAAGUGCCUAUGGCCCUUGAGGUAGUAUAGUAGUGGACAGAUGGUUAGACAUGUUAAACUGGGCCUCAAAAACCGUAUGAAUACUGAGCAAAUUGCUAUCUCACAACCUAAUCAACCUCAAAAUGCACUUCCUUGAGCCCCUUGGAGGAAAGGCGGGAUACAAAUGUGAUAAAUACUUUAAAGAAUAAAUAAAUCCCCGUGUGGACUUCAGUGCUGAAGAAGUUACACUCCAUGAGGGGUUGUUACUGUCUCAGAUCUUUUGCACUCAAGCUCAAAUAUCCAGCCCAUUCUCUCACUUUUAUAAACCAAUUAUCCCCCCAACCCUGUUUUUGCCUGCAGGAUGCUUGGUGUGCUGCAAAGCACGGCGUUAGUGAUAUCACGGCUACUCGCCAUCCUAAUUUGCCGAAAGGUGCUUCUAUAUAACCAAUUUCUUGCACAGUGCAAUGUUCUUUAAGCUUGCAAUCCUACACUCUCAUUUACUUGCUAAUAAGCCUCAUUGAAUUAGCAUUUGAAUUAUGGUGCUGGGGGAGACUCUUGAGAGUUCCAUGGACUGCAAGUAGAUCAAACCUUAAGGAAAUCAGUCCUGAGUGCACACUGGAAGGACAGAUCCUGAAGCUGAGGCUUCAAUACUUUGGCCACAUCAUGAGAAGAGAAGACUCCCUGGAAAAGACCCUGAUGCUGGGAAAGAUUGAGGGCACUAGGAGAAGGGGGUGACAGAGGACGAGAUGGUUGGACAGUGUUCUCAAAGCUACCAGCAUGAGUUUGACCAAACUGCGGGAGGCAGUGGAAGACAGGAGUGCCUGGCGUGCUCUGGUCCAUGGGGUCACGAAGAGUCGGACACGACUAAACAACAACAAGCCUCAUUGAACGCAAUGGGUUAUAUGACAUGGGAUGGAGCUGUAAAUUGUUAACAUGUUUCAAUAGUCCAAAAAUAGUUUAAAGCAUUUAAACGAUGCGUUUAAAGUAUGAUGCAUUCCCCCUGUAAUUGUAAGAUUUAUGGAAUAGUCUCCCAGGAAGGCCCUCCUGCUGCCAACUUUGUCAUCUUUUUGGUGCCAGGCCAAAGUGCUUUUAUAUUUUCACAGGCACUUGAGCUGCACGAGCGGUGUGAUACUGUACUGUUAAAUCUAUUUUAAAUACAUUUUAUGUGAUUUUAUCAUUGCCUUUUUUCCCUUGGUUGUAAAUGGCUUAUACUUUUCUUUUAUUGGAAGCUAUGUAUAAAAUUAAUUAAACCUACCACAGGUUAAUUAGCCCAUAGUUACGUAAAUUUAUGAGAACUUUCUGAUAAUUUGUAUGGCCAAUGCCUAAAACAAUAAAACUAGUGUGGCUUAACAGUAUUGAUCUAGGACCUGGGAGAUCAGGGCUUGAAUCUCCGUUCAACCAGUCAAUGUCUCUCAUCCUAGCCUAUCUCACAGGGUUGUGGGUGAGGAUAAAAUGAGGGGAGAACCAUGUACAACACGUUGACCUCCCUGAAAGAAAAAGUGGUAUAUAUAAAUGUAAUGUAUUAAAGUAAAUAUAAUAAAAUUGGACUGAAAGAGUUGGAAAAACUGUCCUGCUACCAUCCAACAAAUAAGUGGAUGUUAGGUUAACCUUUUUUAGGUAAUCUUGAAUCUGAGAGUUUCUACAUGCAAGCUUGUGCCCUACCACCAAGUUAAUACUAAUAAUAUUUACUGUAGAAUUUGCUAGUGCAAGAGUUCAGAAAGGAAAAUGGAAAUGAUGUCGGGAGAAAAAAUAUGGGUUGAGGGAAUUAAUUUUUUUUAAUGAAACUUAAGUUCCAAGGGUAUCUUGGCAGUGCUAGUUUUGGGAGACAAGAAAAGCUCAGCACUACAGGUAAAGUCAAUAAUCAUUUCUGCAAGGGGGAGGGGGGAAACCCAAACUCUUUGCUUGCAGAAAGCAGCUCUCCUUGGAUUCCCUCCAAAUCUCAAAGACUCGCUGAUGCCUUGAUCGUGCAUCAUCAUCGACUGGGAUUUGGACAGCCUUAUUGCCUUGUUCUUCUAGAUAUGGAUUGGACCGGGUGUGACUCAUGACCCAGCUAGUGAAGCCUUUAGUCACCUUGAGUAACCAUUUCCUUUUAGGAAGACCACUUGAGUUCAGAUGUUAGAAAAAGCGAGUCGAUCAAAAGGAAAUGUAUCAUCAUCUCUGUUAUCUAAAUAAGGCUUAAGUAGGGCUUAAUUAAGUGUCUGAAAUUGCCUUUUGUGCUGGUGUGAAUUUCACCGUACAUUAAUUUUAACUAGGAAGAGUGCAGGCUAAUAAAUCUGAUCACUAAAAAUUCAUACCGUCCAGGGUCCAAUAGCCAAAAACAGCCAUAGGGGUACUAACUUAGAGAUACCGAUCACCAACUUCCUAACACCAGCAUCUGUCAGCGAGGGAGCCUGAAGCUACUAUACGUUUAGUAGCUCAAACCAUGCAACAGCAGAAGCUCUCUCCUGAUAUGUCCAGGAAGCCAACGUCCCAUUCAGCAAACACAACUAAAUCUGAAAGCUAAUAUCUUGCCCAAGGUCACCUAGGGGAGCCUGAGUCAAAAACUGCGUGCUAGAUAGUUGGCUAGCCCCCAAAUCUGACGCUUAAGUGAGCAGAUUAUAGCUGGCCCUCAAAUAUCAGAAGGGGGCAUUAAUAAAAUAGGAAGGUCUAAGGGUAAUGAUAAUCAACAGAAAUUAGAUGUGGCGUUAUAGCGGGAGGCUAGCAAAGUUCUGAUUUUCAGCAGUUCUGACUACUAAAUGAGAUAAUAACAUAAUUUCUUUACAUAUCAGAUUCUGGAGAACCUAUGGCUGAGCUAGAUUUGAAUAUGACCAAUGCUGAAGGCAAACAGUUUAUCUGUUAGAUGACACUGGCUAAUGCUUUAUGUACACAGCUGUUUAUCUGUCCCAAAGAACAGAUGCCUCUUAUUUCACAACAGCUCAACUCUCCACUGCAUUCUGUAAAUCAAAUUCCACACUUCUUCAUAGGUGUUUUGAGUCACAAGGCUAUGCAUGCUUACUCAGAAGUUGUCUAGAGGAAAGCAUUCUGUAUGGCAGGAUGGCUUACCCAUGGUUCUCCAGAUGUUGUUGGACUCCCAACUCUCAUCAGCUUCAGCUAGCUUGGCCCGUGAUCAGAGAUAACGGGAAAUGCAGUCCUUCUGGAAGGUUACCCAUCCUGCUGGCACUAAAAGCAAGAUUUAGUACAAAGCCCUGGUAAGCGUUGGCCAAAAUUAAGAUGCGCUGGCAGCACUAGUAGUGAUUUAUGUAAAAUUCAGAAUGUCAUCUCAUUGGUUUUAAAUUGAUCUGACUGGGUUUCCAGCCAAGUGCCCAUAUUUAUUAUUUUAUUCCUACCACACCCUUAACUGCAGAGAAUGAAAACAUUUGAUGUUUGCAUAUAUUUACAUGAAUUAACAUAUGCAGUUGAGCAAUGAUCAUUCCACUUUGAAAAGUGGCCUGUGUGGUGCCCUUUACCACUAAAUACUCCCAUACCAGUUAUAGCAGAGUGACAUUUGAAAUGGUAGCUAGGAAAACUGUUUUCUGGAUGCCGAGAUGAGAUGAUUAAAAACUGCUGACACGAAGAUAAACAAUUAACAUUUUCAGAUACAUUUCUUUUGGUCUUGACAUUUGCAAAAGCAAAAUAUUUUCUGGUGUUUUCCCUGUAACAAAAUGUGGUGAAGUGUACUGAAAAAAAUCAGUUUUUAAAUAAAAAAACACUUUCUGCGCCUG